rnacentral:sRNA from 1 species
UCUGCUUCGGUUGAACUUAGACCGAGACAUAUAAUGUUAUUUUAAUAUUUUUUUAAUGGUUUAGGCACCGGUUUUGUGAUGUUACCGAAGGGGUAGCUCUUUCCUUGGUUCAAAUUCCAGAAAUCUGAAGUCACUAUUUUUCUUCCUCGUGCUCGUUUCUUUUUUUCUCUCUCGCGCUUUCUUCUUCUCCGCUGGUGCCUCCCUGCUGCCGCCGCCGCUUCCUCUAGUGAUUUCUUUGCUGCCUACGAGCUUUCUUCUUCCUCCACAGCACAAUUAGACAGGAACCCUUCUUCCCUAUUUGGAUCCGUGUUGCGCAAGGGGGCGAGAUUCUUUUCUCCUUCUUCAUC